UACGGGGGGGGCAAGCGUUGUUCGGAAUUACUGGGCGUAAAGGGCUCGUAGGUGGCCAACUAAGUCAGACGUGAAAUCCCGCGGCUUAACCGGGGAACUGCGUCUGAUACUGGAUGGCUUGAGUUCGGGAGAGGGAUGCGGAAUUCCAGGUGUAGCGGUGAAAUGCGUAGAUAUCUGGAGGAACACCGGUGGCGAAGGCGGCAUCCUGGACCGACACUGACACUGAGGAGCGAAAUCCAGGGGAGCAAACGGG
rnacentral:rRNA from 1 species